UGAUAACCUUCUUGCUUUUUUUUUUUGUUUUUUUGUCUCUCCCAGACUCUCUGAAAUAUCUAGGCUUUUUCUUGUUCUUCAAAUUGAAACAAUGGCAGCAGCUGCUCAAGCUCAAUAGUCCGAUAGUUUGUCAGCGAACAGCCGAUUUCCCACGGGUACCCCUUACCCGAACUACCUCUUGAAUUUGUUCAAGAAGGCCAUAAGAGCAACAAUUAGAUAUUGCUCGCAAUCAAGGAAAAUUAAAGAGAAAUCUGCAAAAUUGAAAAAUGAAGAGAAAUUGCGGCGGGCGUUCCUAAAAGCAGCAAAACUAGAGAUGAAGCUUGAAAAGUAAUAUAAUGAAAAAGAGAUUAUAAAGUUGGUUCUGGAAGACUAUAUGCACAUCGAUGGUAAUGAUGCUCGGAAGAAGAAGCUAAGGAAAAUAGAUAUCACAUUGUUG
rnacentral:lncRNA from 1 species